rnacentral:rRNA from 1 species
GCCAAAAACCUAGCAUUCCAAAUUAUAAUAACAAAUAACCUCAUAUUUCUCAUAAAUUUCUAAUUAAACCAUUCUAAAAUUUUAGUAUAGGCGAUAGAAACAAUCAUAAUAGCUAUAGAAAAAGUACCGUAAGGAAAGAUGAAAUAGAAAUGAAAUAAUUAACUAAGCAACAAAAAGCAGAGAACUUACCUCGUACCUUUUGCAUAAUGGUCUAGCCAGUCAUAAUCAAGCAAAACGAAUUUCAGUUUGACUACCCGAAACUAAGCGAGCUACUCCGAGACAGCUUUUUAGAGCAAACCCG